rnacentral:rRNA from 1 species
UUGGUUAAGUCCCGCAACGAGCGCAACCCUUAUUGCUAGUUACCAUCAUUGAGUUGGGGACUCUAGCGAGACUGCCAGUGAUAAACUGGAGGAAGGUGGGGGAUGACGUCAAAUCAUCAUGCCCCUUAUGACCUGGGCUACAAACGUGAUACAAUGGCUGAAACAAAGGGCAGCGAAGCAGUGAUGUGGAGCGAAACCCAAAAAAGCAGUCUCAGUUCGGAUUGAAGUCUGCAACUCGACUUCAUGAAGUCGGAAUCGCUAGUAAUCGCGGAUCAGAACGCCGCGGUGAAUACGUUCUCGGGGUUU